ensembl:snoRNA LOC120097210 small nucleolar RNA SNORA70
CCACAGCCAAUUAAAGCACCAGAUCCCUUCCUUCAGGGGCCUGGUAAUGACUGUGGAGAGCGGACUCAGUGGUAGUGGAUGUAGCCUGUUGCCUGUAUGCGUUUCCCAAAAAACAUCUUGGGUACGGUU